UAAAAUAAAUAUAAAAUUAUUAUAAAAUUUUUAAAAAAUUAUUUAAAUUAAAUAUUUAACUUUUUUUUGUUUAUAUAAAAAUAUUAAAUAAUUAAUUUUAUUUCAAAAAUUAAUUUAUAAAAUUAUUAAUUUUUAAGAAAAAUUUUUUUUUUUUACCUUUUGUAUCAGGGUUAAUUAAAAAUUUAAAAAAAUUUUUAAUUCUCGAAUUUAAAAAAUUUAAAUUUUUAUUUAUAUUAAUAUAAAAAUAUUAAAUAAAAUAUUAAUUUAGAAACUAUAUAUUAAUCAAUUUUAAAAUUAUCUAGUUAAUUAGGAAAUAAAUUUAAUUUAAUUUUAAUUUAAAAAAAUUUUUUUUAUAAAAAAAUUUUAAAUUAAAAAAAUAGUUUAAGGGAUAAACUUUUAACUAAUUUUAUAAAUUAUUUAAUAAAAUUUAUAAUUUUAAAAUAAAAUUAUUUUUAAUUAAAAAAUAUUUAAUAAUAUUAUAAAUUAAAUUUAUACACAAAUAAUUUUUAAAUAAAAAAUUUUAAUUAAUUACUAAAUUAUAUAAUAUAAUUUAUUUAUUAAAAAAAUAAUGAUUAAAUUAGUAAUUUAAUAUUUUAUUCAAUUUAAAUAUAAUUUUAAUUUAAAAUUAAAUUUAAUUAACUAGGCAAAUUUAUAUUCACCUGUUUCUCAAAAACAUGUCUUAAUGAAAAUAAUAUUAAGUCAAAUCUGCUCAAUGAAAUUUUAAAUAGCUGCAGUAUAAAUAACUGUACAAAGGUAGCAUAAUAAUUAGUUUUUUAAUUAAAAACUAGAAUGAAAGAUUUAAUGAAAUAUAAACUGUAUCAAAAUUAUAUAAUAAAUUUUUUAUUUAAAUAAAAAAAUUUAAAUAAUUUUUAAAGACAAUAAGACCCUAAGAAUUUUAAUAAUUUUAUAUUAAUUAAAUUAAUUUAAUAUAAAAUUAUUUUAAUUGGGGCAAUUUUAAAAUUUAUUUAACUUUUAAUUAAAUUUAACAUAAAUUUUUGAAUAAUUAAUUUUUUUUAAAAAAAUAAUUUUAAUUACCUUAGGGAUAACAGCAUAAUUUUUUUAAAAAGUCCAAAUUUAUAAAAAAGUUUAUGACCUCGAUGUUGAAUUAAGAUUAAUUUAAUAGAAAUUUAUUAAAAAUUUAAGUCUGUUCGACUUUUAAAAUCUUACAUGAUUUGAGUUAAGAUCGGUGUAAACCAGAUCGGAUUCUAUCUUAACAUAAAUUAAAUAUUUUUGUACGAAAGGAAUUUAUAUUUAAAAUAAUUUUUUUAAUUUAACUAAAAUUAUAUUAAUAUUAAUUAUAUAA
rnacentral:rRNA from 1 species